rnacentral:rRNA from 1 species
AAUGAACGCUAGCGGCGUGUUUAAGACAUGCAAGUCGGACGAAACGGAGAGAAGCUUGCUUUUUGAAGUUUAGUGACGGACGGGUGAGUAACGCGUGAUCACCUGCCUUAAAGAGGGGGAUAGUCCUGGGAAACUGGGUUUAAUACCGCAUGUGCCUUUUGGUAAAGAAGCCUUCGGGUUUCGCUUUAAGAUGGGAUCGCGUCCUAUCAGUUAGUUGGUGAGGUAAAGGCUCACCAAGGCGACGACGGGUAGCUGGUCUUAGAGGACGAUCAGCCACACUGGUACUGAGACACGGACCAGACACCUACGGGUGGCAGCAGUCGAGAAUCAUUCACAAUGGGGGCAACCCUGAUGGUGCAACGCCGCGUGGAGGAAGAAGGCCUUUGGGUUGUAAACUCCUGUCAUGUAGGAGUAAGUCAUGUUAGUUAAAAGCUGAGCAUGAUUGAUAGUACUACAAGAGGAAGGGACGGCAAACUUCG